UGGUUCCCAGACUGCCCUUUGAGAAUAAAAUAGGAGGCCAGAACCAAAGUCUUUUGGAUAAAACACCGCGACUGACCACACACUAACCCAUUUGGCUGCCCUCCUUCCCAAGGCACAGAUCAUCCCAGCAUGUGAAGGCCUCCUUCUCUCCCUCCCUCCUUCCCUUCUGACCCAUUUUCACUCUUCCACCACACAAUCAAAAAUAAAUAAAUAAAUGAAAAAAAAGCUCUCUUCAUCUAUGGUCUACUUAUACCUGUUUUUUUCUUCUUCCCUGACAGACAAUAUUUGAAAGUGUCUUUUGCAUUCUCCACGGAGUCUUCAAGUGCUGCAACACUGAGGGAAGGGCCGUGCCUAGUAGCUGUGUGUCACUAUGGACUCUGUGGUAUAGGAGAUGGGCUCUGGCCAGUUGCCUUUGAAGAUGAACUUCGUUUCCAGAUAGUUUUCACACAGGGCGGUAGGAGAUUUCUUACUGCUACACCUUCCACCCUAGCCCUGACCCUCGCCACCAGGCCGCCCAGCCAUAUUAGCUCAGAAGAUCCAUAAAGGGGCUGGAGCCCCAGUCCCCUCCCCUCUGCUUGAAGAUGUUAUUAAUUAGAGUUGUGCUAGGAUGCAGGAAUGACCUUGGGAAGGGGCA
rnacentral:lncRNA from 1 species